rnacentral:misc_RNA from 1 species
AACACUGUUAACCUGCGGUACCUGCGGAGGGAUCAUUAACAAUUGUCCACUUUCAUGGAUAAUUUUAUCCAUAUCCACCUUGUGUGCAUCAUUGAUGUGUUAGUUGGCAGGUUUAGUCCUCUACUUUAUUGUGAGGACUUGUUUGGGUUCUAAGCGCGGAAAGUUUUCAGUGCUUGUCCCGGCCUGCCAAUUUUACGUUUAAACAUGUCUAAAUAAUUGGUCUGAAAUAGAAAAGCUUAU